GACAGAGUAGCUCAGUCGGUUAGAGCGUAGCAUUCAUAACGCUAAGGUCGAGGGUUCGAUUCCCUCCUCUGUCA
rnacentral:tRNA from 1 species